GAUGAACGCUAGCGGCAGGCUUAAUACAUGCAAGUCGAACGGUAACAGGUCUUCGGACGCUGACGAGUGGCGCACGGGUGAGGAACACGUACACAAUCUACCUUAUACUGGAGAAUAGCCCCGGGAAACUGGGAUUAAUACUCCAUAGUCUUUAAUGAUCACAUGAGAAAUAAAGUAAAGCUUCGGCGGUAUAAGAUGAGUGUACGUCCCAUUAGAUUGUUGGUGAGGUAACGGCUCACCAAGUCGACGAUGGGUAGCUGGCGUGAGAGCGCGACCAGCCACACUGGCACUGAGACACGGGCCAGACUCCUACGGGAGGCAGCAGUAGGGAAUAUUGGUCAAUGGACGAAAGUCUGAACCAGCCAUGCCGCGUGGAGGAUGACUGCCCUCUGGGUUGUAAACUCCUUUUUAUAUGGGAAGAAACCUCUGGAUUCACUCCAGAGCUGACGGUAUCAUAUGAAUAAGCACCGGCUAACUCCGUG
rnacentral:rRNA from 1 species